ACCAGUUGCCUGUGUGACACUGUGCUUAUCUCUACACUCUGGUCAUUCCCUUGACUACCUAGAAGAAGUGUGCAAUUCAUAUGCUACAAAUAAAUGAUUGCGCACGAAAUGAGAGAAGUGUGCAGAGAUUAAAGCGCAAAAAAAGAAAGAAGGUGGAGCUUGUGAAGAAAACUAAUCCGGUAUCAUGGUGAAAAAAGUUUUUUUUUGCCAUUAGGUCUCAUAAUGCUAAAUGUCAAACAAACAUGUAGAACACACAAACAAAAAAAAGCCCUUAAAAGUCUAACAUGUCCUACUAACCAACAAAAGACGGUCAUAUGUCGAAAGAAAUUCUUUGAUGUCUAAGUAUCUUUGGCAGAGCUUUGAUGUACAGUAUGUACAGUAGGUAAAAUAA